rnacentral:rRNA from 1 species
UACAGGGGGUGCAAACGUUGCUCGGAAUUAUUGGGCGUAAAGCGCGCGUAGGCGGCCACUUAAGUCGGAUGUGAAAGCCCCUGGCUCAACUGGGGAAGUGCACCCGAAACUGAAUGGCUUGAGUGCGAAAGAGGGUCGCGGAAUUCCCGGUGUAGAGGUGAAAUUCGUAGAUAUCGGGAGGAACACCGGUGGCGAAGGCGGCGACCUGGGUCGACACUGACGCUGAGGCACGAAAGCGUGGGGAGCAAACAGG